ensembl:lncRNA
GUAAAUGUUAGUUUCAGCAAAUGAAGCCCAAUCCUGCAGGUGCGUGUUCAGGCAAAGCUGCCAUUAGUUUUAAUGAGAGUUUGUCUUCUUCAAAAGUACAGGAUGAAGCCAGCAAGUGGGUAAAUGAAAUGUGUGAGCAUAAGGAAAUUGUAUAUAGAAGUUCUGCUCCAAAAGGAACACCUCCUAUUUUAUGAUGUUGGCCCACGACGUCAGAGAAAGAUGUUGGUGGUAUUGGCAGUAGAGGCUGAACCUUCCCACCAAUGUUGCAUUACAUUUUGUUGCUGUGUGACGGAUGGCAGCAGUGGGGCAGUCUGACAAAUGGCGUCUGACAUGGAAGUGUGUAUGGAGCAAAGGUGUGAAACUGAACUUCUCCAUGCAGAAAAAAAUGGAACUCACUGGCAUUCAUCGACACUUGCUCAACAUUUAUGGAGACCACACAGUGGAUGCGAGCACAGUGAGGUGGUGGAUGGUGCAUUUCAGCAGUGGCAACGUGAGAUGCCUUCUGCCUUCUUCCCGCUCAUGUGGCUGCAGGCCCUCUGGAACAGAGCUCCAGACCAGAUGCAGCCCAUGGGCCACAGAUUCCCACCCUGACCAAAAAGGGAAGCUUUCUCCUGGAAGGAUGAUGGCAGAGGAGAAAAUGCAGCAGCCCUGGGCAACGAGCAAGGUCUGCAGUCUGGCAGUGCAGCUCAGCAGAUCUCUGAGAUGUGAAGUCAUCUAAGUGGAGCCACCCUACGCAUGUCAAACGAACUGACAGAUUGCAAGUGUGCUUCCUCACAUUUUGGUUUCACUGAGUCAGCAAGCCUUGCAUGGGGUGGUUCCUCUGUUCACUGAGAUUUUACCAGUCUUCCAAUUAAAUUCCCUUUCCACCAAUAUGAACUUGACAUUCUUUGGAAGAGGUCACACGCCGGUUCACACACCUGCAGGGAUUACAGUAGAGCUGCUCAUUAUUCCAGCCCUCUUGUCUGGGUAGACAUACUUACACCAAGGAUGUACCUCCUGUGGUUAUUUUCUCUCUGAGGUGAGGGAGGUAAAAUUGUUUGCCUAGUAUAUACCAAUCAUUUCCCUCAUGGUAAUGGGCAAAUACCUGCUUGCUGCUGGCUUUCCUUCAUGGAACUUGCAAUGCUGCUCAAUUUUUCCAUUUAUUUACUCAGCCUGUAGGGCACUGUAUUCCGGUUUCAUUCUUUAGGUUUCUUUGAAGCCAAUGAAGCAGGACUGGCUCUUGAAAGUGCAGAAGUUGGGAUUCAAUCCAUAUUUAUAUGCCAUUGCUGUAAACGUGGAGACUGUAUUAAAGGGCUGAUCAGGCACAAAAAAAGACUUUAACUAAUUUAAGUCAGCAGGAAACCUUUUGUUUUUUACUUUAUAGAUUUUUCUGCAGUUGCUCAUCCUGAAAAUUUGGCAAUAGGUUUCUGAUAAUUCAAAGUCAAAUAUUGUACCAUAGUCAUGAGUAGAAGGAAAUAAAUGAUUUGAAUAUUAUCAGUUAUGCUUGAAAAAUGAGCGGUUCUUCCACUACUUCCAAACCAAAAGAAUACUUCCCAUUAAUCAAGUUGGAAGACUGUGUCUCAUGCUUCAUUCUAGUUUAUGUAUUCGGUCCUCUUUUCCUUGAUCCUUCCUGUAGAGCCAUGUGUUUUCUAUACUUCCUCUGUUCCAUUUACACUGCAAAUGAUUAUAAUUUCUGUUACACAAAAAAACCUGAGCUGCCACAACCACUACCUA